UGGGGAAUUUUGGACAAUGGGCGCAAGCCUGAUCCAGCCAUGCCGCGUGCGGGAAGAAGGCCUUCGGGUUGUAAACCGCUUUUGUCAGGGAAGAAAUCUUCUGAGUUAAUACCUCGGGGAGGAUGACGGUACCUGAAGAAUAAGCACCGGCUAACUACGUGCCAGCAGCCGCGGUAAUACGUAGGGUGCAAGCGUUAAUCGGAAUACUGGGCGUAAAGCGUGCGCAGGCGGUUUUGUAAGACAGAGGUGAAAUCCCCGGGCUCAACCUGGGAACUGCCUUUGUGACUGCAAGGCUUGAGUGCGGCAGAGGGGGGCAUGGAAUUCCGCGUGUAGCAGUGAAAUUGCGUAGAUAUGCGGAGGAACACCGAUGGCGAAGGCAAUCCCCUGGGCCUGCACUGACGCUCAUGCACG
rnacentral:rRNA from 1 species